GCAGGGUUGCUGGGCCCAAAGCAUGGGGUCUGAGACAUCCAGUAGCCUCACCAGAUCCAGUCAGGGAGUCGAGACCAACCGAAACCCAAGGACUUCCCUUACCAGAAUAUCCAAGGUAUCUCCAAGCACCCAAUUCAAAUUACUAAACCGCAAAAUGUUAAAGGUACAGAAGGCGCGAUGCUCACCAUCUCCCCGAGGAGCAUGUUUGUUGCGCCCAAGGGCCACACCUUCCUGGCAGCAGGUACGUGCAGUCGGUGCCAGAGAGAUGUCCUAUGUCAUGGUGGCUCACUUUACAUGUUCAAAUACUUGGAAGGUGGAUAAUUCAAAGGUACUUACAGAAUUCAUUCUUUAAAGUAAAUCCUAAGGCAAAUAUUUAUACAAAAGAAAGAUUUCUUGUGCACAGUAAAUAAGAGCAGAUCUGCUUCAAGGGUCCCUCACCUUCUCCAGAUCCCAGAUACCCCAACGCGGUCCCACCCAGCCUGCCCCUCCUUUCUCCUCUCUGUCCUCGGCACGCUCCGCGCUCUGCCCCGCUCGCUCUCUGCAGAUGGGCUGGCCUCCAGCCCAGGCCAGCCCCACCUCAUGCCCGCGUGGAACCUCUUCACUAGAUAACAUCUCGCUCCCUCCUUCGCCUCCUCUGUCUUGAGGAGGUGUACCCUGACCACCCUCUCCCUCCUGAACCCCCUUUCUUGAUCUGUCUUUUCCAGUUCACUUCUCAUCUUCUGAUGUACCAGAUAACUCACACACAUUGUCUCCUGCUCCUAGAACAUGGGCUCCACGAAGAAAGGCUUAUCUGUUUUGUUCAUUAUCAAAUCCCAAGCACACCUCCUGGCACCCAAAGGCACCCUCUAAACUUCUGAUGUAUAGAAUGAACAAAUGAGUGCAUAUGGCCUAUCCCGGAGGUGUUGCUGGCCUCACGGAAGGCAGGACAAGGACCUUAGA